rnacentral:rRNA from 1 species
AUUGAACGCUGGCGGCAUGCUUUACACAUGCAAGUCGAACGGCAGCACGGACUUCGGUCUGGCGGCGAGUGGCGAACGGGUGAGUAAUACAUCGGAACGUACCCAGUAAUGGGGGAUAACUAUCCGAAAGGAUAGCUAAUACCGCAUACGCCCUACGGGGGAAAGAGGGGGAUCGCAAGACCACUUGUUAUUGGAGCGGCCGAUGGCUGAUUAGCUAGUUGGUGAGGUAAAGGCUCACCAAGGCGACGAUCAGUAGCGGGUCUUAGAGGACGAUCCGCCACACUGGAACUGAGACACGGUCCAGACUCCUACGGGAGGCAGCAGUGGGGAAUCUUGAACAAUGGGCGCAAGCCUGAUCCAGCAAUGCCGCGUGCGUGAAGAAGGCCUUCGGGUUGUAAAGCGCUUUUGUCAGGGAGCAAAUCCUUGUGGCUAAUACCCACCGGGGAUGAGAGUACCUGAAGAAUAAGGACCGGCUAACUACGUGCCAGCAGCCGCAGUAAAAC